rnacentral:lncRNA from 10 species
GAAGAGAUCAUCAGACCAUUCUGAAGAGGAGGAGUUGGCACAGUUACUUCUCCUCUCUGAGCCUCGAUCUCCCUGCCGGCAAAAUGGGGAUCCUUGUCCCAGCUCCACUCACUCUAUAGGGUUCGUUUGAGGCUCAUGGUAAAUAGGCUUAGAAAUGGGCCCUCGGGCAUGUCCAGCCUGGAGUAGAGUCAAGGGUGUCCAGGGGGCCAGGCGGAGGUUCAGCCAUGGAAUGAAAAGAUCUAAAGAAGUCUGGCCAGAGGGACACUGAGAUGAGCAAUGUGGUUGGAGGAGAGGAUACUGACCCAAGAAUUCUCUGGAUAAGAAGAAGGAGGAGGGGAAGCCUGAAGUGGAUGGGUCGAGCCUCAGCUGUGGAAGAAUUGCUAAUUACAGCCACCAUAAGGAAAUAUCAAUGAUGGACGUCAAUAUUAUUGCCUCCUGCAUCCCUGCCUGUUUAUUUGGAGAUGAAAAGCGCCCUAGGGUCAUCUCUCCAGGACGAAGAUGAGUGAUGACAGAAGGGAGGAGAGCUACACAUGGAGAAAAGGGCAUCCUCCAGCUGGAUUCAUUCAUGAAACCAGGACCCAUUUCCUCUGGGCAGAGUUCUCUCCACUGAGGGCCCAGGGCUGGGGCUGAGGGCAAAGGAACCUGCACAGGGAGGAGGAACUAGUGAUCCUGCUCCCAGCCCUGGUUCACCAAGUGACUGCAUGUAUGCCUCUUUGUGCCUCAGUUAACUCAUCUGAUAAAUGGGUAUGACAAUUCCAGU